UACAGAGGUCUCAAGCGUUGUUCGGAUUCAUUGGGCGUAAAGGGGUGCGUAGGUGGCGCCGUAAGUGGGGUGUGAAAUUUCGGAGCUUAACUCCGAAACUGCAUUCCAUACUGCGGUGCUUGAGGACUGGAGAGGAGACUGGAAUUUACGGUGUAGCAGUGAAAUGCGUAGAGAUCGUAAGGAAGACCAGUGGCGAAGGCGGGUCUCUGGACAGUUCCUGACACUGAGGCACGAAGGCCAGGGGAGCAAACGGG
rnacentral:rRNA from 1 species